rnacentral:rRNA from 1 species
CACGUAGGGUGCGAGCGUUGUCCGGAAUUAUUGGGCGUAAAGAGCUCGUAGGCGGUGUGUCGCGUCGGCCGUGAAAACCUGCAGCUUAACUGUGGGCGUGCGGUCGAUACGGGCAUCACUGGAGUUCGGCAGGGGAGACUGGAAUUCCUGGUGUAGCGGUGAAAUGCGCAGAUAUCAGGAGGAACACCGAUGGCGAAGGCAGGUCUCUGGGCCGAUACUGACGCUGAGGAGCGAAAGCGUGGGGAGCGAACAGG